UCGAGGGGCAUCGGGAUUGAAGCUUGCUUCAAUUGCCGGCGACCGGCGCACGGGUGCGUAACGCGUAUGUAACCUACCUAUAACGGGGGCAUAACACUGAGAAAUUGGUACUAAUUCCCCAUAAUAUUCGGAGAGGCAUCUCUCCGGGUUGAAAACUCCGGUGGUUAUAGAUGGACAUGCGUUGUAUUAGCUAGUUGGUGAGGUAACGGCUCACCAAGGCAACGAUACAUAGGGGGACUGAGAGGUUAACCCCCCACACUGGUACUGAGACACGGACCAGACUCCUACGGGAGGCAGCAGUGAGGAAUAUUGGUCAACGGACGCAAGUCUGAACCAGCCAUGCCGCGUGCAGGAAGACGGCUCCAUGAGUUGUAAACUGCUUUUGUACGAGGGUAAACUCACCUACGUGUAGGUGACUGAAAGUAUCGUACGAAUAAGGAUCGGCUAACUCCGUGCCAGCAGCCGCGGUAAUACGGAGGAUUCAAGCGUUAUCCGGAUUUAUUGGGUUUAAAGGGUGCGUAGGCGGUUUGAUAAGUUAGAGGUGAAAUCCCGGGGCUUAACUCCGGAACUGCCUCUAAUACUGUUAGACUAGAGAGUAGUUGCGGUAGGCGGAAUGUAUGGUGUAGCGGUGAAAUGCUUAGAGAUCAUACAG
rnacentral:rRNA from 1 species